UCCUCAGUCCCCAUUGGCUACAAGGCGCCUCUGCAGCGCUACGGCUGGGGCUUCCCAGCCAGAGCCGGGAGAGUGACGGCCGCUCCCUCCCGCGCCGGAAAGGAGGCAGCACCCUGCACGUCCCCCACGUAAGGAGCGCACGGUCACGCGUGGUGGCACAGUGCCAUGCCUGAGCAGCUGAAUUCAGCCACCAUUACCACCGCCACCAGCCCAGGAUCAGGAUCAUAUUUCCAGCCUCCUCUGUAGCUACCCGGCCAUGUGACCAAUCUCCAGCCAGGCAGAUAAAGGGAUGCAAGUUGGAGUCUCUCCUGGUGACUUCCCACCAGUAACAGCUUUUGUCCUUCAGGGCCUUGCCAGUUUGCCCAGGCUAGCUGCAAACUCUUGGGCUCUCCCUACUUUAGCCUCCAAAGAGCUGGGACGAGACGCAGCCUAACUCGGCUAAUUCUCCAAUGAUUUGUGAUACAGUCUCUGAGCAAGGAGAUCGUCACCACUGUGGGCCUUAGAACAUCUCCUCUCUCCCUCUUCCUGGUAGCCGUCAGCCUGCAAAUUUCUAUAUGCAUGGGUUGUCAGCAAACAUCUGUUUGUUAAGUCCUUAUCUUUGCCUGUUCUGGAUAUUGUA